AGAGGAAUGCGCUUGCGGUCGAAAGGGUACUGACAGAAAAGAAAAAAACAAAAAUACACAACACAAAGCCAUUACGAAAAACUGCGAAUUAAAGAAACACAAAGCGUAGCGAUGUGGGUUUUCACUUGGAACUUAGAAUGUUCUUUUGGCGGUAAUAGAUGACGACAACCACCAUGGACGAGUGAUAGUUUCAGCAAUUCUCCUCCGUAAGAAAAGAGCAGUAGCUGAAACAAACAACGAAAGCUGUGAUAAGCAUGGACAAGCACCAAGAAGAUGAGCGUAACACAGCUGCUACGCUUGACUCCAGGUUGAAUCAGACCCUAAAAAAUGUUCAAGGGUUACUCAAGGGGCGCAGCAUUCCUGGUAAAAUAUUAUUGAGCCGUAGGUCAGACCCUCCGGAUAACUCAAACUCAAAGAUAUCAAAUAACCCAAACUCAAAGACAUCCUCACCAAGUUACAAGAGGAGCUUUUCUCACAAUGAUGCUGGUCUAAGUGAUCACACAUAUGGGCCAAUAGAGGAGGAAUUUCCGAGUACAGACAAACCAAUUAGUAUUGCCAAUGCCAGUAAGCUAAAAGUGUCGACUUCCUUUGGAGGCAACCUGCCUGAAGAAAUCCCCAAGUCUAUUGUGGGUGCAAGAUCUACGGACUCUGCAAGAGUUAUGAAGUUCACUAAGGUUCUUUCCGAGACAGUGGUUAUAUUAGACAAGUUGCGUGAAUUAGCAUGGAGUGGUGUUCCAGACAAUAUGCGUCCUAAAGUGUGGAGACUUUUGUUGGGAUAUGCACCACCUAAUUCAGAUAGAAGGGAGGGAGUUCUAAGAAGGAAGCGCCUUGAGUAUCUUGACUGUAUAUCUCAGUAUUACGAUAUUCCAGAUACAGAACGUUCAGAUGAUGAGGUCAACAUGCUUCGUCAGAUUGGUGUUGAUUGUCCAAGAACUGUGCCUGAUGUUCCAUUCUUCCAGCAAUCGCAAGUUCAGAAAUCAUUGGAACGUAUUCUUUAUGCUUGGGCUAUUCGCCAUCCAGCAAGUGGAUAUGUUCAGGGGAUAAAUGAUCUUGUUACACCGUUCUUGGUUGUUUUCUUAUCAGAGUAUUUUGAAGGGGAUAUAGAUAAUUGGUCAAUGUCUGAUUUAUCACCAGAUACAAUCUCUAAUGUAGAGGCAGACUGCUACUGCUGCUUGUCAAAGUUGCUUGAUGGUAUGCAAGAUCAUUACACAUUCGCUCAACCUGGAAUUCAGAGGCUUGUUUUUAAGUUGAAGGAAUUGGUCAGGAGGAUUGAUGUGAAACUUUUGAGCUGCACCAGAGCCUGUUUCGCGGCACUUGGAGGAUCAGGGACUUGAAUUUCUUCAGUUUGCUUUCCGCUGGUUCAACUGUCUUCUCAUCCGUGAGAUACCAUUCCAUCUCAUUACGCGCCUUUGGGAUACAUAUUUAGCUGAAGGAGAUGACUUACCAGACUUCCUAAUAUAUAUAUUUGCCAGCUUCCUUCUAACGUGGUCAGACAAGCUCCAGAAAUUUGAUUUCCAAGAAUUGGUAAUGUUCCUUCAGAACCUCCCAACAGAGAAUUGGACUCAUCAGGAGCUUGAGAUGGUGCUUUCACAAGCAUUCAUGUGGCACACCAUGUUCAACAACUCUCCCAGCCAUUUAAUUAGCUGAGCCGGCAUUUGCUGUUUUCUGGGUUUAGUUCUUCAAAUUUACCUUCUCUUUUUCUUGAUUUUCAGAUUACUUCAGCUCUUGCUCACUAUGUGGUGCUUUUUUGUUAUUAAACUAUUCUUGUAAACCACUUCUAUUUGUAUGUGACCUUGUAAUAUUUUGUAAAGGAGAGACAAAAACAAAUGAUAGACAAAGUGAGUCUACUUCUGUUGUAUCAACGAUAUAUACUCCAGAACAACAAUCGAUACCCAGUUUGUGUAUGCAACAUUUUAAUGGAGACUUUAUACAAGCAUUAUGUAUAUGGAAA